UACGUAGGGGGCGAGCGUUGUCCGGAAUGAUUGGGCGUAAAGGGCGCGUAGGCGGCCUGUCAAGUCAGUAGUGGAAGUCCAUCUUUCAAGGAUGGAAGUGCUACAGAAACUGAUGGGCUUGAGUGCAGGAGAGGUUAUCGGAAUUCCCGGUGUAGCGGUGGAAUGCGUAGAGAUCGGGAGGAACACCAGUGGCGAAGGCGGGUAACUGGACUGCAACUGACGCUGAGGCGCGAAAGUGUGGGGAGCAAACAGGAUUAGAUACCCU
rnacentral:rRNA from 1 species